rnacentral:rRNA from 1 species
ACGGGGGGACUCCUACGGGAGGCAGCAGUGGGGAAUAUUGGACAAUGGGCGCAAGCCUGAUCCAGCCAUGCCGCGUGAGUGAUGAAGGCCCUAGGGUUGUAAAGCUCUUUCACCGGUGAAGAUAAUGACGGUAACCGGAGAAGAAGCCCCGGCUAACUUCGUGCCAGCAGCCGCGGUAAU